UACAGAGGGUGCAAGCGUUAAUCGGAAUGACUGGGCGUAAAGGGCGCGUAGGUGGUUGUUUAAGUUAGAUGUGAAAUCCCUGGGCUUAACCUAGGAACUGCAUUUAAUACUGGGCAACUAGAGUACAGGAGAGGGCAGUGGAAUUUCCGGUGUAGCGGUGAAAUGCGUAGAUAUCGGAAGGAACACCAGUGGCGAAGGCGACUGCCUGGCCUGAUACUGACACUGAGGCGCGAAAGCGUGGGUAGCGAACAGG
rnacentral:misc_RNA from 1 species